AUUGAACGCUGGCGGCAUGCCUUACACAUGCAAGUCGAACGGCAGCACGGGUGCUUGCACCUGGUGGCGAGUGGCGAACGGGUGUGUAAUACAUCUGAACAUGUCCUUUAGUGGGGGAUAGCCCUGCGAAAGCCGGAUUAAUACCGCAUACGAUCUACGGAUGAAAUCGGGGGACCUUCGUGCCUCGCCCUAUUGGGUUUGCCGAUGGCUGUUUAGCUAGUUGGUUGGGGAAAGGCCUACCAAGGCGACGAUCAGUAGCUGGUCUGAGAGUACGACCAGCGACACUGGGACUGAGACACGGCCCAGACAACUACGGGAGGCAGCAGUGGGGAAUUUUGGACAAUGGGCGAAAGCCUGAUCCAGCAAUGCCGCGUGUGUGAAGAAGGCCUUCGGGUUGUAAAGCACUUUUGUCCGGAAAGAAAUCAUUGGCACUAAUACGGUCGGGGGAUGACGGUACCGGAAGAAUAAGCACCGGCUAACUACGUG
rnacentral:rRNA from 1 species